rnacentral:rRNA from 1 species
AUAUCAAUAAGCGGAGGAAAAGAAACCAACAGGGAUUGCCCUAGUAACGGCGAGUGAAGCGGCAACAGCUCAAAUUUGAAAUCUGGCCUUUGGCCCGAAUUGUAAUUUGGAGAAGGUGCUUCGGGAGAGAUGAUGGUCCAAGUCCCUUGGAAUAGGGCGUCACAGAGGGUGAGAAUCCCGUAUGUGGCCAGUCAUCGAUUCCAUGUGAGGCCCUUUCGACGAGUCGAGUUGUUUGGGAAUGCAGCUCUAAAUGGGUGGUAAAUUUCAUCUAAAGCUAAAUACCUGCCAGAGACCGAUAGCGCACAAGUAGAGUGAUCGAAAGAUGAAAAGCACUUUGAAAAGAGAGUCAAACAGUACGUGAAAUUGUUGAAAGGGAAGCGUUUGCAAUCAGACUCGUUUGCAGAGGCUCAGCUUUCCUUCGGGAUUGUGUAUUCUUCUGUCAACGGGCCAGCAUCAGUUUCGGCGGCCGGAUAAAGGUUCUGGGAACGUAGCUCUCUUCGGAGAGUGUUAUAGCCCGGAGCGUAAUGCGGCCAGCCGAGACUGAGGUCCGCGCUCUUGCUAGGAUGCUGGCAUAAUGGUUGUAAGCGACCCGUCUUGAAACACGGACCAAGGAGUCGACCAAUGACGCGAGUGUUUGGGUGCAAAACCCACACGCGUAAUGAAAGUGAACGUAGGUGGGAGCCCUUUGGGCGCACCAUCGACCGAUCUUGAUGUCUUCGGAUGGAUUUGAGUAUGAGCAUUAUUGGUCGGACCCGAAAGAUGGUGAACUAUGCGCGGAUAGGGUGAAGCCAGAGGAAACUCUGGUGGAGGCUCGCAGCGGUUCUGACGUGCAAAUCGAUCGUCAAAUCUACGCAUAGGGGCGAAAGACUAAUCGAACCGUCUAGUAGCUGGUUCCUGCCGAAGUUUCCCU